rnacentral:pre_miRNA from 1 species
GAUAUACUCCCUCUAUUUCGAAUUACUUGUCGCAGGUAUGGAUGUAUCUAGAUGUAUUUUAGUUCUAGAUACAUUCAUUUCUAUGACGAGUAAUUUGGAACGGAGGGAAUACUAU